rnacentral:lncRNA from 1 species
ACCUGUGACUCUCCAGGGAAAGGACUUUCCAGAGAAACAAAUCAAGAAAAAAAUAACUGGCUUAAUUUCCCUCCACCCAGCAACAGUUCUUCAUAGCUGUACACAGAGACCAUGGAGCAGCAAGAAGGGUUGUGUGGGACAGAGGCUCCUUGGGUGCUCCCACUGGCAGUGUACUUCAACACUGGGCUACAUCCAGAAGAUGCAUCUUGCACCAAGCACUUCCCUAUAGCUGAAGUUUGCAAUGGAGUGACUUUUCUCCUGCAUAGAAAGAAGGGUAAAAGUGGUCAUAAGGCAUGGUGAAGAUGAUGAGAGAGGAGCACAGAAGUUGAACAGUCCGAAUCCUGCAGCUUUUGCCUCAGUGAUCUGUUUGCUCAACUAAGAAAAUCCAGAAGUUGAUUCUGGUUGUACACAAUAACUGAAAUCUAUUGUAACACAACAUGUGGGAAGACUACAAAUGUGAGGAAUGCCCUGUGCCUCUGCAUGUUGUCCAGGCUGCAUGGGGCCGUGUCACAGCAACAAUGAUGCCAAAGCUGACUUGAAAAGAAUCACCCUCUGACAGCUUUGUCUCCCAACAACUGUGUAGCUGGCAGUUCAUCG